CGUAGGGUGCAAGCGUUAAUCGGAAUUACUGGGCGUAAAGCGUGCGCAGGCGGCUAUGCAAGACAGAUGUGAAAUCCCCGGGCUCAACCUGGGAACUGCAUUUGUGACUGCAUGGCUAGAGUACGGCAGAGGGGGAUGGAAUUCCGCGUGUAGCAGUGAAAUGCGUAGAUAUGCGGAGGAACACCGAUGGCGAAGGCAAUCCCCUGGGCCUGUACUGACGCUCAUGCACGAAAGCGUGGGGAGCAAACAGGAUUAGAUACCCUGGUAGUCCACGCCCUAAACGAUGUCAACUGGUUGUUGGACGGCUUGCUGUUCAGUAACGAAGCUAACGCGUGAAGUUGACCGCCUGGGGAGUACGGCCGCAAGGUUG
rnacentral:rRNA from 1 species